GACGAACGCUGGCGGCGUGCUUAACACAUGCAAGUCGAACGGGUCUGCCCUGUUUUUUGCGGGGUGGGUCAGUGGCGAACGGGUGAGUAACACGUGAGUAACCUGCCCCUCACUUCUGGAUAACCGCUUGAAAGGGUGGCUAAUACGGGGUGUUCUGGCUGUGCCGCAUGGUGUGGCUGGGAAAGAUUCACUUUUGUGGUGUUUUGGUGGGGGAUGGGCUCGCGGCCUAUCAGCUUGUUGGUGGGGUGAUGGCCUGCCAAGGCUUUGACGGGUAGCCGGCUUGAGAGGUUGGGCGGUCACACGGGGACUGAGAUACGGCCCGGCCUCCUGAGGGAGGCAGCGGUGGGGGUAUUGCACAAUGGGCGGAAGCCUGAUGCAGCGACGUCGCGUGAGGGAUGGAGGCCUUCGGGUUGUGAACCUCUUUCGCCGGUGAAGAAGGUCCUGCUCUUUGUGGGGGGGUUGACGGUAGCCGGGUUAUGAAGCGCCGGCUAACUACGUG
rnacentral:rRNA from 1 species